CUUAACACAUGCAAGUCGAACGGAAAGGCCCUGCUUUUGUGGGGUGCUCGAGUGGCGAACGGGUGAGUAACACGUGAGUAACCUGCCCUUGACUUUGGGAUAACCUCAGGAAACUGGGGCUAAUACCGGAUAGGAGCUCCUGCUGCAUGGUGGGGGUUGGAAAGUUUCGGCGGUUGGGGAUGGACUCGCGGCUUAUCAGCUUGUUGGUGGGGUAGUGGCUUACCAAGGCUUUGACGGGUAGCCGGCCUGAGAGGGUGACCGGCCACAUUGGGACUGAGAUACGGCCCAGACUCCUACGGGAGGCAGCAGUGGGGAAUAUUGCACAAUGGGCGGAAGCCUGAUGCAGCAACGCCGCGUGCGGGAUGACGGCCUUCGGGUUGUAAACCGCUUUCGCCUGUGACGAAGCGUGAGUGACGGUAAUGGGUAAAGAAGCACCGGCUAACUACGUGCCAGCAGCCGCGGUGAUACGUAGGGUGCGAGCGUUGUCCGGAUUUAUUGGGCGUAAAGGGCUCGUAGGUGGUUGAUCGCGUCGGAAGUGUAAUCUUGGGGCUUAACCCUGAGCGUGCUUUCGAUACGGGUUGACUUGAGGAAGGUAGGGGAGAAUGGAAUUCCUGGUGGAGCGGUGGAAUGCGCAGAUAUCAGGAGGAACACCAGUGGCGAAGGCGGUUCUCUGGGCCUUUCCUGACGCUGAGGAGCGAAAGCGUGGGGAGCGAACAGGCUUAGAUACCCUGGUAGUCCACGCUGUAAACGGUGGGUACUAGGUGUGGGGUCCAUUCCACGGGUUCCGUGCCGUAGCUAACGCUUUAAGUACCCCGCCUGGGGAGUACGGCCGCAAGGCUAAAGCUCAAAGGAAUUGACGGGGCCCCGCACAAGCGGCGGAGCAUGCGGAUUAAUUCGAUGCAACGCGUAGAACCUUACCUGGGUUUGACAUGGAUCGGGAGUGCUCAGAGAUGGGUGUGCCUCUUUUGGGGUCGGUUCACAGGUGGUGCAUGGCUGUCGUCAGCUCGUGUCGUGAGAUGUUGGGUUAAGUCCCGCAACGAGCGCAACCCUUGUUCACUGUUGCCAGCACGUUAUGGUGGGGACUCAGUGGAGACCGCCGGGGUCAACUCGGAGGAAGGUGGGGAUGACGUCAAGUCGUCAUGCCCCUUAUGUCCAGGGCUUCACGCAUGCUACAAUGGCUGGUACAGAGAGUGGCGAGCCUGUGAGGGUGAGCGAAUCUCGGAAAGCCGGUCUCAGUUCGGAUUGGGGUCUGCAACUCGACCUCAUGAAGUCGGAGUCGCUAGUAAUCGCAGAUCAGCAACGCUGCGGUGAAUACGUUCCCGGGGCUUGUACACACCGCCCGUCAAGUCAUGAAAGUUGGUAACACCCGAAGCCGGUGGCCUAACCGUUGUGGGGGAGCCGUCGAAGGUGGGACUGGUGAUUAGGACUAAGUCAUAA
rnacentral:rRNA from 1 species